UACGUAGGGGGCAAGCGUUGUCCGGAUUUAUUGGGCGUAAAGAGCGUGUAGGCGGCCAGGUAGGUCUGCUGUGAAAACUCGAGGCUUAACCUCGAGCUGUCGGCGGAAACCAUCUGGCUAGAGUCCGGAAGAGGAGAAUGGAAUUCCCGGUGUAGCAGUGAAAUGCGUAGAUAUCGGGAGGAACAUCCGUGGCGAAGGCGGCCACCUGGACCAGCACUGACACUGAGGCACGAAAGCGUGGGGAGCAAACAGG
rnacentral:rRNA from 1 species